AGGGUGACGUAAGCGAUCUCCCUGUUGCCGUUGUGUUGUGCAGCGGCAAUGGACGUGGGUGGCGCAGUGGCGGCCGCCAAAGGGCCAGUGCCUUCGCCCGCGGUCGAAGCGGUUGCUCCGCCGCACGUCGAGAGGCUCAAUCCAGUGGUCGAACAGCAACUGCACCUUGAGUCGGUGAAGAUCCGCGCGCUUGCUCUCUACAAAGCUGUCUCUCACAUUCUCGAGGAUUUAGAUGCUUUCGCCCGUUCCAAUUCCACCAUCAAAUGGCGAGAUGCACUUGGACAAUUCUCAAUGGUGAGCAUGCAACUCUUCAACAUAGUGGAGGACAUUAAGAAUGUGUCUAAGGCAUUCGUGAUCUUCCCAAGAAAUAUAAAUGCUGAAAAUGCAACAGUGUUACCUGUAAUGCUGUCAUCAAAGUUGUUUCCAGAGAUGGAAGCUGAGGAUAUUGCAAAAAGAGAGCAAUUAUUAUAUGGAAUAUCUGGUCACCCUGUACACAUACAAAUUGAGAAACUGAAGGCUAGAAUUGACAUGAUUGGAGCAGCUUGUGAAGCUGCAGAGACGGUUAUAUCUGAUUGUCGUAAAACUUAUGGAUUGGGAUCACAUCCAGGAUCAACACUUGUUCCAACUUUGGAUAAGGUUCAAGCUGCAAAAAUUCAGGAGCAAGAAAAUUUACUAAGAGCAGCUGUGAAUUUGGGUGAAGGGUUAAGAAUUCCAUUUGAUCAGAGGCAACUCCCAACUUCUCUUCCUAGCCAUUUGGCAGAUGUGCUUUCAUUUGGUGAUGGUGCACAGAAUUUGGCUGAUAAUUCUGGUUCUUGUGAGAAAAAUACUCCUGCAUUUUCAUCUACUCGAGAAGUACUGCAGAUGCUACAGACACCUGGAGGACAGUUGAUUGGAAGAUCUGUUCCAUCGCCAUCCAAUGCUACUGCUUUUGAUAAUCCAUCAACACCUCCAAUGGCAUAUGCUAAUUCACCUAGAUCUGAUCCAAACAUUAUGAAUACCCCGUCACCACAGCAACAGGCACAACGGCAACAGCAACAGAGACAAAAGAUUAUGCAAUUAACACAUCAACAACAGCUUCUGCUGCAACAGCAAUUGCGGCAAUCUUCUAUUACAGGAGUUCUAGGCCAGCGCUCAAUAUCCCAGCUGCACGAUAUAACAGGCCAAACUCAGCAAAAGCUUCAACAGAUUGCUGGACAGCAUCAGAUGUCAUAUUCUCAUCCUAUGUUGCAGCAGCAAUUUCAGAAUGGACAAUUGCAAACAUCACACAUGUCUUAUAAUAUUUUACAAAAUCAAAUUAACCAAGGAGGUCAACAUAGGAACAACAUAAACCAGUUAGGAUCUAGCAGCAAUGCUUUGUUCAGUGCUGCUCAAGCUUCACCAAACUCUCAAAUGGUGAAUUAUCUUAGCAAGCAUAUGCUGUAUUUUUUAUUCCUUUUAUUUGGGUGGUUGAUCUAAACACAUAAUUAAUAUAAAGAUUUAAUGCAAGAAAAAGUACAUUUGUUAACAUACUAAUAGAUACCAGAACAACAAUACCACAAAAUACUAAAGAUAAAAAAGUGAAGCAAUAGAAUAAAACUUGAGAAUUCAACUAUAAAAGUUCAACCAAAGAAAGCUCCAAAAUCCUAGCAACAUUUACGUCUUAGAGCAUCUAAUAACUCAUCCUAGCACUUGCUUGGGGAUGAUCUGGAGGCAAAAACAAAUAAGGGUUCACUAGAAAAAGCUGGGUAGGAAUGCGAUAGUACGCAGCAAGAAGAUAAUUAAUUUUAUAAUAGGAUAUCACAAAUAACUCUAUGCAUGAAGUGUGUUAAGGCCACUUCUUCACAUUUUAUUAUCUUAGAUUAUGUUACUUGUGAAUGACACUAUGUAGACUAUUACACUGCUUACUCAAGCAUGUGCAUGAUUGCCUCACUAUUAGUUCGAAAAUGCACACUCAUCAGGACUAAUUGAGUGUGCUUCUGGCAUAAUGCUCAUAUAUCUGCCAACAAGCUAACACGAGGCCAAUAGUAAUCAUUACAAUAUUAUCGCAUGGUCGUAUAUUAUCUUCACAUAAUAGUAGCAUAACUCUUGCGUCUCUACGAACCAGGUAACAUAAGGUUCAUAGAAAUCAUUACAAUAAGUAUCAUGAUUACAUAAUGCUGAUAUUUCUCCACACAGAUUUAUUAUAUUCAUCUAUAAUUUAACUCCAAUAUCACUUAUGGUAAUAUUUCUCAUAGAGAUUACCUAAGCUAGGUAAGCAUGACAUGUAUAAAUGGAUCAUCUAAUAACUAUCAAGAGCAUAAUUUAAGGUCUAUGGAACGUUCAUAUAACCAAACAUUAUCACGCGCACACAAUCUAACACAAUGUGUAUGCGCAAAGAAUAUUUUUAGAAGCAAACAUAUUUUGAUUCAACACAAGCAUUUAUGAUUUAAAAAGGUGAAAUAGGGUUCCUCCUCAUUGAGUAGGGUAUUAAUGGUGAUUAUUCUGGCCACACUCAUGUUCAUCCCUUAAACUCCUCUCUUGAUGUGUCUUGUCUAUAAAAUGGUUGGGAACUCAUUCUAAAUUGGGUAGAUUGGUUAAACUCUCAUUCCUUAGGAUAGGGAUACACCAUUAGGCAUGUUUGAGAUCAUCACAACUGGGAAACACUCUUCAAUAGCUUCUGUUCAUAACCAUACAGCUAAUGUCUGGCUCAACAACACAAGAAAAAAGUUUCCCAAAAUCCCACCAAAACUCCCAAACAUCUUCUAUAUCCAUUUUCCUUGCGUCCGUAGAGGAUGUAUCACUCAUCUUGCCACCAAAACUUUCUCGAAGCACCCUUGGACUUUAUAAUUGAAAAGGGUUAACUCAACACAAACAAAUGUUGCCAUUGUUUGAGGGAUAAGACUUUCAGUACACAGCCAAAUUAGAAGUUUCAUGAAUGGAUGGAAGGGAGUAAAGAAGAGAACAAGAAAAUUCUCGCCCUUUUAUUUUGUCAUUCCCAAUGCAUAUAAGGUUAAACUGGUCUUUUCAAUUUGUAUCUACUCUUUCUCCCCUCUUCCAUCCACUUUUGGAAGGAACCAAAAGUGGGUAAAGAGAGCCAAACUAAUUCUUUCUUUUUCCUCACUUUUUAUAUUACACCUAAGUAGACAAGGGAAAUAAUUGUUUUCCCUCUAUUUGGGUUUCCUUCUCAAGUAGGCAUAACAUCAAGGAUGCAAGUUUCUAAUUGAUAAGAAUAAGAUGAUAACAAUGAGAGUUGAUCUGAUUAAUAGGAGAUGAAAGAGGAUCUUGAGAUCCUAUAUCACUGCUUGCAAGUGUCACAGUAGUUCCAAAGCCCUAUUUCUCAUGCACAAAACUGUAUCUUAAAUUGGCACUGCUGUGGAAAAGCCCUCUUCCUUGUUGCUGUGGAAACCUUUGGGCACUGCUUCUGCAUGGAGUUGAAACACAAGGAUGAAGAGGGAGGUAGAUUGGGGCGAUUUGGGUUUUCACUGGGGAUAUGGGAGAACAAGUGUGGGAGUGGGUUUAGUUCCCACUUAAUGGAUAUCUGGCCUACAGGUUUAAUGAAACUAUUGCAUGAUCUGAAUGGCCAGGUUUAGGUCAUAAAUGUAGUCUUUCUGUGAAGGGUAGAUUCUGUACAUUAACUCUUUUUGAAACCCUCAUCAGGGAGAAAAAUUUUGUACAGGAAUUGCCCAACCUUUAAAAUGCCUCGAUAUUCCUGCCAACUUUUUGCUUUAUUAGAUGCUUGAAUAUAGGAUGACUGCUAAUACAAAAUUUCAACAAUUCUAAGCUAUGUUACACGCAGUGAGCUAUGUUUUUGGUGAAGGUUAUCUUUUAAUUUCAAUUGAGCUCUUGCUGAUGAGAAUUCAACAAUUGCUGGAGUAAGAAUACAGGAGAAACACAAACAUUGGGGUUCUGACAUCAGAUCCAAUUGGUUCAAAAACCUCAGCCUGAAAAUUUGGGAUCUUCCAGGCUGGAUCAGAUUUCAAGCAUGUCAGCUUCGAUGCAAUCUCAAUCACGUUUGCCACGGAUGCAGUUUGGUCUAACUGGUGGGCACCUGCAAAGGAAUCAUCCAUCCCAAGUGUUUAAUGAUCAGAUGUUUGGGAUGAGUCCUUCAAAUCCU